ensembl:snRNA Gm23230 predicted gene, 23230
AUAGUUACCAGGCAGGGAGAUCCAGGAUGAGGCUUAUCCAUUGUACUCCAGAUGUGCUGACCAAUGUCAUUUCCUCAAACGACAGAAACUCGACUGUAUAAUUUGUUGGAGGCUUUGUUCCCACUUUCCCCUG